rnacentral:rRNA from 1 species
AUUGAACGCUGGCGGCAGGCCUAACACAUGCAAGUCGAGCGGAUGAAGGGAGCUUGCUCCUGGAUUCAGCGGCGGACGGGUGAGUAAUGCCUAGGAAUCUGCCUGGUAGUGGGGGAUAACGUCCGUAAACGGGCGCUAAUACCGCAUCCGUCCUGAUGUAGAAAGUGGGGGAUCUUCGGACCUCACGCUAUCAGAUGAGCCUAGGUCGGAUUAGCUAGUUGGUGGGGUAAAGGCCUACCAAGGCGACGAUCCGUAACUGGCCUGAGAGGAUGAUCAGUCACACUGGAACUGAGACACGGUCCAGACUCCUACGGGAGGCAGCAGUGGGGAAUAUUGGACAAUGGGCGAAAGCCUGAUCCAGCAAUGCCGCGUGUGUGAAGAAGGUCUUCGGAUUGUAAAGCACUUUAAGUUGGGAGGAAGGGCAGUAAGUUAAUACAUUGCUGUUUUGACGUUACCAACAGAAUAAGCACCGGCUAACUUCGUG